rnacentral:rRNA from 1 species
CGCGUAGGUGGUUCGAUAAGUCGGAGGUGAAAUCCCUCGGCUCAACCGAGGACCCGCGUCCGAUACUGUCGAACUUGAGUGCAGGAGAGGAGAGCGGAAUUCCCAGUGUAGCGGUGAAAUGCGUAGAUAUUGGGAGGAACACCGGUGGCGAAGGCGGCUCUCUGGACUGCUACUGACACUGAGGCGCGAAAGCUAGGGGAGCAAACGGGAUUAGAUACCCCGGUAGUCCUAGCCGUAAACGAUGGGCACUAGGUGUGGGAGGUAUCGACCCCUUCCGUGCCGCAGCUAACGCAUUAAGUGCCCCGCCUGGGGAGUACGGCCGCAAGGUUGAA